GACAGAGGGGGCAAACGUUGUUCGGAAUUACUGGGCGUAAAGCGCGUGUAGGCGGCCCUGCAAGUCGGGUGUGAAAUCCCAUGGCUCAACCAUGGAAGUGCACUCGAAACUGCAGGGCUAGAGUCCUGGAGAGGAAGGUGGAAUGCUUGGUGUAGAGGUGAAAUUCGUAGAUAUCAAGCGGAACACCGGUGGCGAAGGCGGCCUUCUGGACAGUGACUGACGCUGAGACGCGAAAGCGUGGGGAGCAAACAGG
rnacentral:rRNA from 1 species